UGGAGGGGAAAUGGUUCCUAUUAAAGACUGGCUUACAAAGAUGUUAAAUAAUGACUUAAGUUGCCAUUCAUUUAACACAUUUUUAUUAAGCACCUACUAUGAAAGGUUCAUGCUAGACAAUGUACGGGUUUUGCCUACAACUGAUAUGGAAGAUACAUAAAAUAACUAUCAUUCAGAUAGAAAAUAAGUACCAUGUCAGAGAUACUUAGAGUUGCAGCAAUGGAAGGUAUGACUUUCCACAGGUGGUCUCAGUUGAGGAAUGAUUUAGACUGGCACAUGCAGGGAAGGCUGGGGGUACAGUGCAGGCCAAGGCCUGGAGUGCUGCAUUCUAGCUUCUGGGCAUGGAUUAAGGACCUCAGACUGGGAGUUUGGAAAUGCAACUUGGGCACAGGUUAUGGGGGCGAAGAAGACAGUUUAGAUUGUAUUUUGUAGGAAAUGGAUACUCCCUUGAAAGCCUGCGUGCCAAGGAAGUGGUAUGAUUAGCACUGUGCUUCAGAGAGAAAUGUCUUCAGCAGGAUGCAAUGUCCACUGGGGAAACUGGCUGCUGCAGCGUUUGAUCAUUGCAGUGGUCUGAAUGUGCCCCCACCAAAUUCAUGCAUUGGAAGCUUAAACCCCAGUGCAACAGUGUUGGAGGUGAGGCCUUUUGGGAUGGGUUUAGGUGUUGAGCCUCUGCCCUUGCAUAUGGGUUAACGCUGCUAUAAGUAGGGCUUUCAGGAGUAAGCUGGCUCUCUCUGGCCCUUCAUGUGCCUUCCACCAGAUGCUACAGAUUCGAUCUUGGACAUCCCAGCCUCUAGAAAUGUGAGAAAUGAAUUUUUGUUCUUUAUAAAUUACCCAGGCUGUGGCAUUCUGUUGUAGCAGCACAAAACAGACCAAAGACAGCCACAGAGUAAUAGCUGCCUUCCCUCAAGUAUCUACCAACCCCCUGCUCCGCAUCCGGCACAAUGCUCAGAGCUGCGGAUAAAAAAAGCAAAAGCUGAGCCAGGGCCUGCUCUCGUGAGGCUUACAAUUAAGUGAGGAACAUACCACACGGAACUAAGCACCAGGGAGAGAGGUACGGGGGGACACGAGCACAAACGGUGAGGAGUGGGCCCCCAGGGUCAGGGACACUUCUAAUGAUGAUGCAACUCAGAUCCCAAGAAAGAAGACGAGGCUUAGGCAAGAGAAGCAUUCCAUAAGAGAGAAGAGGGCACAGAGCCAGAAAGAAGCGCUAAAGAGAAAGCAAGAGAGAGAGGAUGGCAGGAGAGCUGGAGAGGUGAAAUAUCCUGAGACCAAAGGACACAGUGAGCAGACAGGCCUGGAACAGUGACAGGGCACAACCAGCUCUGCCUUCCAAAAGGCACCUCUGACCAUGGCUCGGAGAAGACUCCGGAAGAGAGCAGAAAGUAUGUAUAUAUAUAUAUACUAGGAGGCCAUUAUAGCAGUCCAAGCGAGAGAUGAUAAAUGUGGACUGCCGUGGUGGUUGUUGAAGCAGAGGUACGUGGAUCUGACACUCAAAUGAGAUUUUAUAUUUUGUGCGGUUUGGCACUUUUUUUUUUUUUUUUUUUUUUUUUUGAGACAGGGUCUGGCCCUGUCGUCUAGGCUGGAAUCACUGGUGCGAGGCUCACUGCAACCUCCACCUCCCAGGUUCAGUGGAUUCUCCCGCCUCAGCCUCCUGAGUAGCUGAGAUUACAGGCAUGUGCCACCACGCCCAACUAAUUUCUGUAUUUCUAGUAGUAACAGGGUUUUGCCUUGGUGCCCAGGCUGGUCUCAAACUCCUGGCCUCAAGUUAUCUGCCCACCUCAGCCACUCUAAGUGCUGAGAUUACGGGUGUGAGGCACCGUAUUGCUCCAGAUUUGGCAGAUUCUGACUGGCUAAUUUUUAUACCUUGACAGGCACUAACCACUAAGACCUGAGUCAUCAUAUACUUUAAAAUAAGUAUCUACAUUUAAAUUUCCUUUUUGAAUUGGUUAUUAGGAAAAUGUCCAACUCCUUAGGCAAAACUUCCUACUUUCUGUCUACAAAUAAAGAGAACCGCACUUUGGGAGGCCUAAGCCACCAUGCCUGGCGCAGCCCAACAUUUUUUAAAAAAGUGAAAACAUGCAUGUGGUAAAGACGGGGGAAAAAUAAAACUGUAAAAUGGGCAUGAACCCCAAAAUUUGCCAACCUCCCUAAAGGUAACCAAUGUUAUCCAUUUCUCAAGUGUCCUUUCAGAGAUAUUCAGCACUUAGGUAUUCAAGCAUAUACAUUCCUCCUUUAUCACACAAACAGUAGCACAUUAUAUUAACUUUUCUAAAACCUUGCGUUAAACAUAUAUAUAUACCUAUGCCACUUAGAACUCAUAUAGUACUAACAUGGAAUUUCAGUACUAUAAAGUACAGCCAUUUGAAAUAAUGAACAGCCACACUUUCUAGUGGCUGCACACUAUUCUAUGGCACAGAUACACCAUAAUUUAAUACACGCUCUACUGAUGAAUAUCUAUGAUGCUUCCCAAUGAUGCUGCAAUAAGUUUGUGUUGAGCAGAAAAGGUGCAUUAGAAAUUAUUUUUCUUUCUUUCAACUUUAAAUUCCUAGCUUUGAAAAAGAGUCUCCAUGUGCUAUGAAUACACUGUAAGCUAACAUUGUACUAGUUGAUUUUGAUUAAUCAAGUUGUUCUGAAAGACUAGUAAAUAAUCAAAUGCAGUCUAGCAAGCUGGGUGUGGUAGAAUACCUGUAGUCCCAAUUACUCAGGAGGCUGAGGCAGGAGGCUCGCUUAAGCCCAGGAGUUUGAGACCAGCCUAGGCAACGUAGCAAGACCCUAUUUCUAAGCAUGGGGGAAAGCAGUCUAGUGAUUUUGGUGUACAGACUGGACUAUGGAAGGGAACACAGUGAAAUAAGCAAUUGUGUAUGGGGGCAGGUGGGUCACUGGGAGAGUAAAUAGAUUGUUUUUAAAAACUGUCAACCUUAAAACAGAAAAAAUAAUCUGUCAAUAUAUAUAAUUUUAAAAUGUUAACUAAGUUUAGAAUGGUAUUAUUCAUCAUGAUGUUAGUAAAAUUGCUGAAUAUGUUCACAACUGUUACGGUUCUGUCUGUACGAGGUUCCAUGCUUAAGUAACGCUGGUGAAAGCAGCUGUCCCACAGCAGUGGCACACCUAGCAGAUCUGACGCAUUUUUAAGACCGCCUUCCUUUAUUUGACAAAAUGACUUUCAACAAUAACCAGCACUCUACUUCAGUUAUUUAAAAUUGUAAACGUAAAAAUUCCCAAAGCAGAAACAGAGAAUGAAGGAAUGGAAAAAAAGUUCUGUUUCCUCAUCUUCAUAAUCAUUCUACUAUUGUUGCUCAUUGACAAAUCUGUUUAACCACUGGAACAAGGAGCACCAUGGGGACUGUGGACUCAGACUGCACCUGAAAUGAGUACUAGGCUGAGUCCAC
rnacentral:lncRNA from 1 species